AUACCUAGAAGCAUUUUUAAUAGCAGAGGGAUCCAGCAGCAAUCACUGAAAGCACUACUUUUACAUCUGUUCCAGCUGUGAAGCUGUUAGUUUAUUUAAGUUGGAGUGGUUUUCCUAAGAAGAAAGGUUUGUAGUUCCUCUGCACGUGCAAGUGCCUCUGCUCCCACACAGUUCUGCAACUCCUGGCUAACCUACAACAGAAGCUGAACAGGAUGAGAUCCUUUCCUCUUCUUAUCUGGAAGUUACUAAUUUGGAUAUGGCUGGGAUUUCUAAAUGUAUCCUGCUGCUAAUGGCAACUGAGGAACAGGGAGCAUGUUUUACCCCAGCCUUUUCUAGCCCUAAGAGAACAGUUCUCAUUAGUGCCCAUUUGGAACAGGAAAGCUUUUAACAACUGAGGCAACAACCCUGGAAUUGGUGACUGCAGCAGAGAUGGCCUCAGGAUGACUGGGAAACACUUCUUUCAGCAUUGACACCACUUCGCUUCACAGAGCUGACCCAAAAAGCAAGCUUACAACUGCAGUUUGUGCUUAUUAAUAGCAAACACUUGUCACUCCAGGGUAGAGGAAGCAGCUGGACCACAGCAUGUUGCACAUUACAGACUCAGCUGAGGAAGACAAAGCACAAAGCAUGACUCUCAUGUGCUCUUUAUUAUUUCUGCAAUUGGAUCAAGUAUCUCAUCCUAAACCCAAUCAAGGCAGCAAGAACUUUAGCUAUUUAACAGAGUAAAGGUUGCUCAAGUCUACAAGUAAUUAACAGAUAAGAACAGUGUAGCAAGCAACCCUAUGCUCCCAAUACUCCACUUUGUUAGCUGCAAAAGCUCUCCUAACCAUGCAGCAGGCACAUGCCAUGUUUGCUACUCAGGCUGCUCAAACAGAUAGGGAAGGGGGUGCAUUGAUGAUAUUCUGAGAAGUGCAUCACUAAAAUGAUACUUUAGGAAGUAUGAAAUCAAAACCUCGUCAGCAGUUGAUUACUACAGAGCACAAAAGUUGCACAGCCAUAGUAAGAGGACCAUACUUUAAGAAGAAAUGGUGCAUCUGCCCUAUUCAGUAACUAGCACAGAACUGCUAUUAAAGUCGCUGUUGCUAGCUGCUGAACUACACACUCUAGGGAGUUGCCUAGUUGUUGCCCGGGUGCCCUAACAACAAAAGGCUCUUAGGUACAUCUAAGAUACUACCGCAGCAAGCAAAAACCAGAACAAUCCCAAAGUCCCU